GGAAUUACUGGGCGUAAAGGGCUCGUAGGUGGCCAACUAAGUCAGACGUGAAAUCCCUCGGCUUAACCGGGGAACUGCGUCUGAUACUGGAUGGCUUGAGUUUGGGAGAGGGAUGCGGAAUUCCAGGUGUAGCGGUGAAAUGCGUAGAUAUCUGGAGGAACACCGGUGGCGAAGGCGGCAUCCUGGACGGUUUCUGACGCUAAGACGCGAAAGCGUGGGGAGCAAACAGG
rnacentral:rRNA from 1 species